rnacentral:rRNA from 1 species
CUACGGGGUGCUCCAGUGGGGAAUAUUGCACAAUGGAGGAAACUCUGAUGCAGCAACGCCGCGUGGAGGAUGACACUUUUCGGAGCGUAAACUCCUUUUAUAUAGGAAGAUAAUGACGGUACUAUAUGAAUAAGCACCGGCUAACUCCGUGCCAGCAGCCGCGGUAAUACGGAGGGUGCAAGCGUUACUCGGAAUCACUGGGCGUAAAGAGCGUGUAGGCGGGUUAAUAAGUCAGAAGUGAAAUCCUAUGGCUCAACCAUAGAACUGCUUUUGAAACUGUUAACCUAGAGUGUGGGAGAGGUAGAUGGAAUUUCUGGUGUAGGGGUAAAAUCCGUAGAGAUCAGAAGGAAUACCGAUUGCGAAGGCGAUCUACUGGAACAUAACUGACGCUGAGACGCGAAAGCGUGGGGAGCAAACAGGAUUAGAUACCCCGGUAGUC